GAUGAACGCUGGCGGCGUGCUUAACACAUGCAAGUCGAACGAAGCACUUUAUUUGAUUUCCUUCGGGACUGAUUAUUUUGUGACUGAGUGGCGGACGGGUGAGUAACGCGUGGGUAACCUGCCUUGUACAGGGGGAUAACAGUUGGAAACGGCUGCUAAUACCGCAUAAGCGCACAGCAUCGCAUGAUGCAGUGUGAAAAACUCCGGUGGUAUAAGAUGGACGCGCGUUGGAUUAGCUAGUUGGUGAGGUAACGGCCAACCAAGGCGACGAUCCAUAGCCGACCUGGGAGGCUGACCGGCCACGAUGGGACUGAGACACAGCCCAAACUCCUACGGGAGGCAGCAGUGGGGAAUAUUGCACAAUGGGCGAAAGCCUGAUGCAGCGACGCCGCGUGAGCGAAGAAGUAUUUCGGUAUGUAAAGCUCUAUCAGCAGGGAAGAUAAUGACGGUAACUGACUAAGAAGCACCGGCUAAAUACGUG
rnacentral:rRNA from 1 species